rnacentral:rRNA from 1 species
AACGAACGCUGGUGGCGUGCUUAACACAUGCAAGUCGAACGAGAACAUUUCCUUCGGGAAAUUAGUAAAGUGGCGCAAGGGUGAGUAACACGUGAAUAAUCUGCCCUCGAGAUCGGGAUAACAUGGUGAAAACUAUGCUAAUACCGGAUAAGACCACAUUUCGCAAGAAAUGCGGUAAAAAGGAGUCUCAAUCUUCACUCGAGGAUGAGUUCGCGCAACAUUAGCUUGUUGGUGAGAUAAAAGCUCACCAAGGCUACGAUGUUUAGCCGGCCUGAGAGGGUGAACGGCCACACUGGAACUGAGACACGGUCCAGACUCCUACGGGAGGCAGCAGUGGGGAAUUUUCCGCAAUGGGCGAAGGCCUGACGGAGCAACGCCGCGUGAGGGAUG